GGUGGUUCUCAGGUGACACACCCCAGAAUCGGACUCCCUUCGCUCUGGUUCCAGCUGUGUCACCCAAGAACUGCA
rfam:Myotis brandtii contig276988, whole genome shotgun sequence.